UACGUAGGGGGGCAAGCGUUGUCCGGAUUUAUUGGGCGUAAAGAGCGUGUAGGCGGCUUUACAGGUCCGUUGUGAAAACUCGAGGCUCAACCUCGAGACGCCGGUGGAAACCGUAAAGCUAGAGUCCGGAAGAGGAGAGUGGAAUUCCUGGUGUAGCGGUGAAAAUGCGCAGAUAUCAGGAGGAACACCCGUGGCGAAAGCGGCUCUCUGGGGACGGUACUGACGCUGAGACGCGAAAAGCGUGGGGGAGCAAACAGG
rnacentral:rRNA from 1 species